ensembl:rRNA 5S_rRNA 5S ribosomal RNA
AUCCACAGCCAUGUCACCCUGCAGCCCAAAAGCGGUUACUCACUGAAGCUAAGCAGGGCUGAGCCUGGUCAGUACCUGGAUGGGAGACCACUAGGGAACACUAGGUUGUUGUUGGAUG